GGACUACUGGGGUAUCUAAUCCUGUUCGCUCCCCACGCUUUCGCGUCUCAGCGUCAGUACCGUCCCAGAGAGCCGCCUUCGCCACGGGUGUUCUUCCUGAUAUCUGCGCAUUUCACCGCUACACCAGGAAUUCCACUCUCCUCUUCCGGACUCUAGUCAUGUGGUUUCCACCGACGUCUGGAGGUUAAGCCUCCAGUUUUCACAGCGGACCUACAUAACCGCCUACACGCUCUUUACGCCCAAUAAAUCCGGACAACGCUUGCCCCCUACGUAUUACCGCGGCGGCUGGCAC
rnacentral:rRNA from 1 species